GCAAUAGUAGCUCAGCGCCAGAGCGCCGGUCUUGUAAA
rnacentral:tRNA from 5 species